UCGUUACUGCAUUUGGUAAAUAAUGAUGUAGUAAAAUUGCAAUAGAGCAUGCCGAGUCUACUUUCUAGUUGUCAGAAUAAUUUCACUCAAAAUAUACGCCUGAGCAGACAACGAUAUGACGAUGAACGACAGCACAGACAACGGGUUUUGCGUUUACGCGCUACACCCACUAUAUGUACUGAAGAAAGCAGCAAUCGAUGAUGCUUUCGAGGUGUGGAAGCGGGGUCGAAGACGCGGUGAAGAUGUUUGCAGUAUGAUGUUGACGGUGAUCAAAGGCGCAAACAGUUCCGCAUGACUCAGACCACAUUUGAACACCUUGCACAGUUAGUAGAGUCUGGGAACUAAAACAGACCACCAAUGUCUGAAACACAAUUGAAUACCGUCAAAGGCUUGCUCUAUUUUUGUGGUGGUGUGCAACACCAAGCGAGCACCAGAUUAUUUCAAGUUUAUUUGGAGUCGUUGUCUCCACAGAUGACUGCAGCUGUCGUGAAGACAAGUACAACUGCUUUAUUUCGCUACCCCGUGGUAAAGGCAGCCUAGCCACCAUCUGGGUUUAAGCAACUUGGGUAUCCGCAAUGUGCUGGUGACCAUCGGUGAGACACACAUCCCCAUCACUGCCCCAAAAUAAUAUCCAAAGGACUACUUGAACAGCAAAGGGCAGCAUUAUUUUGUGUUGCAGGCUGUUGCUGAUCACAACCUCAGAGUUCAGCGAUUGUCAUUGGUGUAGAGAUGCCAGUUCAUCCGGUAGGAGACCCAUCGUACCCACUGAAGAGGUGGUUAAUGACAGGCUUUUCCCAGGACACAUCUCUGAAUAACCACCAGCAGAAGUUUAAUGACCACCUGAGUUCAGCCAGGGUGGCUAUUGACGACGUCUUAGGACACUUGAAGGACACUCAGAGAUGUUUGGUGAAGUGCAUCGACGUUAAGUUGACGACAGACACUGUAACGGCUUGUUGCAUACUGCACAAUGUGUGCAAACUGAAGAAAUAAUUGUUUCUGGCUGAAUGGAACCGGAACAUCAUUGGCCAAGAUCAUCAGCAGACAGAGGCUAAGCUCACAGAGCAAGGCCAUAGUUUACUACAAGGGCCAGUGGAGGAAAGUGUUGCUACUGUACGGGAUGCAAUUAGGACCUCUUUACAUGACACCAUCAUUACUGUGCACUGAUGUUAUAGCUUUGUGGUGCAAGUUGUUUGUGAUUAGUGUUAAGUAUCGCUAUGCUCAAGUUGUGGCUAUGCCAAAAAAUAACAUUUUGUAACAACGUGAAUUUGCAGUGCAACAUUUUACAUUUUGUAUUUGCUUGAAUGAUAUUUCCUUUUGCACAGUACAUUUAAGAUGUUCCUGAAUGUUAUGUUAGACUUUGUAUUUGUAUGAUUUUUUUUCACAUGAACGUUAUGUUACAUUACUUUACACUUUAAGAUGUUUUUAUGUGAACGCUUUGUUCUUGGAAGAGAUCCUCAAUAAAUGGGUUUUAUGAACA